UCUCAUCAUGAAUGUUUCCAUCUCCCUCUCCCUUCCUCUCUGAAAUCAAUACAAAUAUAUAUUUUUUAAAAAGAAAGAGAAAAAAGGGAGGGUGGUGGAAACAGCCAGUAAAAACAUGUGAGAUGCAGGGAAGUUUGCUGGGUUGACUCAAAACUUUUUGGGACUUCUUCAAAUUUCAGAGCGUCCAGCACACUCCGCCAAGUGAAAGCGGAAAAGGACUUCCAGGGCGAAUUGUAGCUUUUUCAUCCAAACGCACACAGAAUUCUUCCCUCCUUUUUUAUGGCGUAUCACCCCCUCUCCCUUCCAGGAAAAACUGCAGCCAGGAGAAUCACAAGAAAUCCCUCCCGAGGGCUGAGGCCCAGGCACCUCCCUCGGGGCCUCCGGGGGCCCCAGGCGGUCAGAGUCCUCUGUGCCCGGAGGUUCUUCCUGGACUCAGAGCAAUCUCUCAAUGUGGGGGCACUUCCAGGAACCAAGGAGGCUUUGUCCCCCUGCCUCUGCGGCCGUGGGGAGCAUGGGUGCGGGCACUGCCCCUCACACACUCUCCAGCCAGCAGCUUCACUGCAAGGUUUGCCCAGAAAUCCUCCAGGUCCCCAUGCGUGUGCCCUCCCAGGCACCGGUCCCCAACAGAGACAAUCAGGGCCCACCCACAGCACGGGCCUUCCAGGCAGCCAUGGCCUCACGGGGGGCAUGCGCAGCUCACGUACAGAGCGGGUGCUAGGAUCACGUCCUUGUUUUACAGGGGGAAACUGAGGCACCACCUGCCCUGGUUACCGCACCUGCCCUGGCCAGCCUCAGGUGGGCAGUCCCCCCUGCAGAGGGGAGACCCCAGCCCUCUACCCUCACACAGGGCAGCCCCUCCAGCUCUGUCAGAUGGGGGUACAAGACCCCACAUUUCUAAGGGGACUCAGCUGAGCCUGUGCCUUACCUGUGUGGUUUGAAAACUGGACAGAGUUCACGGCGUCGAUCUCAAACCCCAAAACCUGCAAGACAGACAGAGAAGGACCAGGUGUGAGAGAGCUGUGGCUGGCAGUGACCCCCCCCCCCUGGAGGAGGGGAGCCAACGCAUGCCGGCUCCCAGGUGCAGGGCCCAGAGGGUCUCCCCGAGCCCGGCUCCGUGUCUGCGCCAGGUGAUGGGCUGCGACACAGAGGCCACUCGCCACCAGCUGGGACGCAGUGCCUCCGGAUCACUCCUGGAAAUCCCACUAACGGAGCGCGCAAAGAAACCCGGGAGGUCGCCAACCAAGACCACCCCCCAUACAAGCAGGGGCAAGCCGGAAGCCACAGGGAAGUGUGAGGCCAGUGGCCCUGCCCGGGGUGAGGAGGAGGGGACAGGACGAGGAGACGUGGCUGGCCAGGCCAGUGAAUAAGGACAAGAGGCCCAGAGCAGGAAAGGGACUGCUGGUUGACCUGGUCCACGGGCUUCACACCUCCCCUUCCCGAGCUCAACGGAGAACAGGAUCUUUCUGUGACACUGACCCACAAGACGAGAGACUUCAACAGAUACUUCCCAUGCCUUUAACUGAAAAUCUCAGUGCCUACAGGGGGCACCGGGAAGAAGUGGUCCAUCCUCUGUACAGCCUCCCAGAGAGACAGGGCAAGAGAGAGCGAGAGAGAGAGACCACGUAAAAA